rnacentral:rRNA from 1 species
CGGUGGAUGCCUUGGCACUAGAAGCCGAUGAAGGACGUUACUAACGACGAUAUGCUUUGGGUAGCUGUAAGUAAGCGUUGAUCCAGAGAUUUCCGAAUGGGGGAACCCAGCAUGAGUUAUGUCAUGUUAUCGACAUGUGAAUUCAUAGCAUGUCAGAAGGCAGACCCGGAGAACUGAAACAUCUUAGUACCCGGAGGAAGAGAAAGAAAAAUCGAUUCCCUGAGUAGCGGCGAGCGAAACGGGAAUAGCCCAAACCAACAAGCUUGCUUGUUGGGGUUGUAGGACACUCUAUACGGAGUUACAAAAGAACAUGUUAGACGAAUCAUCUGGAAAGAUGAAUCAAAGAAGGUAAUAAUCCUGUAGUCGAAAACAUAUUCUCUCUUGAGUGGAUCCUGAGUACGACGGAGCACGUGAAAUUCCGUCGGAAUCUGGGAGGACCAUCUCCUAAGGCUAAAUACUCUCUAGUGACCGAUAGUGAACCAGUACCGUGAGGGAAAGGUGAAAAGUACCCCGGAAGGGGAGUGAAAGAGAACUUGAAACCGUGUGCUUACAAGUAGUCAGAGCCCGUUAAUGGGUGAUGGCGUGCCUUUUGUAGAAUGAACCGGCGAGUUACGAUCUGAUGCAAGGUUAAGCAGCAAAUGUGGAGCCGCAGCGAAAGCGAGUCUGAAUAGGGCGUUGAGUAUUUGGUCGUAGACCCGAAACCAGGUGAUCUACCCUUGGUCAGGUUGAAGUUCAGGUAACACUGAAUGGAGGACCGAACCGACUUACGUUGAAAAGUGAGCGGAUGAACUGAGGGUAGCGGAGAAAUUCCAAUCGAACUUGGAGAUAGCUGGUUCUCUCCGAAAUAGCUUUAGGGCUAGCCUCAAGUGAUGAUUAUUGGAGGUAGAGCACUGUUUGGACGAGGGGCCCCUCUCGGGUUACCGAAUUCAGACAAACUCCGAAUGCCAAUUAAUUUAACUUGGGAGUCAGAACAUGGGUGAUAAGGUCCGUGUUCGAAAGGGAAACAGCCCAGA